ACAAACGAGCACCAAACAUAUUCACAAAAACGAAAUCAAAUUUUAAAACAGAAAAGAAUUCGCCAUGUUCCCAGUAAUUUUCAUUUCCACGUUCUCGUUCUCGCAACUCUUCUCACCUCCACAAGAACCACGAGCUUUUGUUUCCACCACCGCUAUAAUGAAGUUCUAAUGGCUUCUUCUCAGAUGUAAUGCAAGUGUUUCACACCUACUUCACAUUAAGCUUUUAUGGUAUGCUUAACUCAUGAUAAGGCUACCGUUGCCCUCUACAUCCAGAUGUGUUGGAAGAGGAACUUGAAUUUCAGCAUGCUGACAUGCAGAGGCUCGUGGCAGACAACAGAAGGUUGAUAGAUGACCGAAUAGCAUUGCAGCGAGACCUUGAAGAAUGAAGUAAUUCAACUGCGAGCCGAGGUUCAGAAACUUAAUAGUCUCAAACAAGAUCUGACAGCAAAUGUUCAGACACUUACUCAAGAUCUUUCAAGGUUACAAGCAGAGAAUCAGCAAAUUCCUAUGAUGAGGGUUGAGAUUGAUGGCCUGCACCAAGAGCUAAUGCGUGCCAGAGCCAUGGUGGAUUAUGAAAAGAAGGCAAACAUAGAGUUCAUGGAACAGAGGCAGUCAAUGCAGAAAAAUUUGGUUUCCAUGGCCCGGAAAGUUGAGAAAUUACGUGCCGAGCUUGCUAGUGCUGAUGGAAGGCACUGGGGUGUUGGUAUGGCAGAUCAGACAAGACUGGUAAGGUGCUUGCUGAAGUGUUGUUGCACAGCUUACAAGGAAACAGGAAUAAGUAGAGGGAUAUAUGAACUAAUCUGGGCUAUUUGGAUCAUGAACAAUUGGAGACUUUGAGAUACAGAUAUGGUACGGAAGGCUAUUCUGCGUAAAGCAGGCCGUUUAUAUAAGAAUUGGCGCUCCAGGCUUCAUGGUCAUUACUUAAAGUUUGAAACAAAGGAGGAGGCCUUGAAGCAUGUCCCUGAUGAUUAUUAGCUUUAUCUGAUGUUCAGGGAGACUGUUGCUCCAGUGCCCCAAUUUGGAAAAUGUGCAUGCAUCUGGUUGUUAGGAUAUGUUAAUAGGGGCCAUCCAAAGUCAGAGCAAUUAAUUCUCCAGAUAAAUUUUUCCACAAUAAGUUAAUUUGCUGAGAUGUAUGCUUCAUGAAUCGAUAUUGGAUCUGAAGCAAUAGAUGGUGCUAUAAAUUGCAGUUUGUGAAUAAGCUUAUUUACUUUUACCUAAAUUAAAUGGUUUGAUUCCAGGCCUCUUCGGUUCUGAUAUAUGUUCUUAAUGUGUAUGAAGGUCCGCUAUGCUUCUGCUGAUAUGGAAAACCAUUCACAAUCUAAACGUCUACCUGAUGGCUCCAAAAGGAUUCGGGUUCCACAUUUACUUAUGAGGAAGAGUUCCCUGAACCUGAAAAAAAACGGAGAAGGAUCGAGAGA